GAAAUAAACCUGAUGGGUUGUUGCUGGUUCUCUAGGGAGCAUGUGCACACCUUGUCAUCUUUAUAUCUCCACCUGUGCACCUUUUGUAGACCUUUUUCAGGUCUAUGUUGCUUCUUCAUUUACCCCCAUGUAUGUUAAUAGAAUGUUGUGCCUGUAUAAUCUAUACAACUUUCAGCAACGGAUCUCUUGGCUCU
rnacentral:misc_RNA from 1 species